CACACUUGAAAAUAGACAGAUUACUGUAAUUGAAAAACCUUUCGAAGAAAAUACAGAAGCUCUCUCACACCCGGAAACGCCAACCUCACACCACCCUCACACCCGAUCAGCACUAGCAACGAUUACAGAAGCAGCAGUAGAAAUUAGAACGGAAGAGCCAGAUUUUGUUCUACCUAUCCAAAGACCAAAAAUAACAGUAGAACAUUCUUCGGACUCCGAUUCUGUGUGUUUUGAAGAUGAUGUUGAAGUCGAAGAUUCUACUUCCACAAGAAACAUUGGUACAC